UCCUACGGGAGGCAGCAGUGGGGAAUUUUGGACAAUGGGCGAAAGCCUGAUCCAGCAAUGCCGCGUGUGUGAAGAAGGCCUUCGGGUUGUAAAGCACUUUUGUCCGGAAAGAAAUGGCUCUGGUUAAUACCUGGGGUCGAUGACGGUACCGGAAGAAUAAGGACCGGCUAACUACGUGCCAGCAGCCGCGGUAAUACGUAGGGUCCAAGCGUUAAUCGGAAUUACUGGGCGUAAAGCGUGCGCAGGCGGUUGUGCAAGACCGAUGUGAAAUCCCCGAGCUUAACUUGGGAAUUGCAUUGGUGACUGCACGGCUAGAGUGUGUCAGAGGGGGGUAGAAUUCCACGUGUAGCAGUGAAAUGCGUAGAGAUGUGGAGGAAUACCGAUGGCGAAGGCAGCCCCCUGGGAUAACACUGACGCUCAUGCACGAAAGCGUGGGGAGCAAACAGGAUUGGAUACCCUGGUAGUCCACGCCCUAAACGAUGUCAACUAGUUGUUGGGGAUUCAUUUCCUUAGUAACGUAGCUAACGCGUGAAGUGACCGC
rnacentral:rRNA from 1 species